GCCCCUAUUAAAUCAAGUUCUUCAACCUUAAUCAUACCAAUCAUCUUCUUAAGUUUCAAAAAAAUAUCUACUUUGAAUAAUUUUGUAAAAAUAUCUGCAAUUUGAUCUCUAGAUGAACAAAACAAUGAUAUCCUUUUCUUUAACUGCUUCUCGAAUGCAAUAAAACUUGAUAUCAAUAUGCUUGCUAGACCAUGAAACAUAUUUUUUUGUUAAUAUAAUUGCAACCUUGUUAUUAUAAAAUAUUCUUGUAGGCCUGUCU
rnacentral:lncRNA from 1 species